rnacentral:rRNA from 1 species
UACGUAGGGUCCAAGCGUUGUUCGGAAUCACUGGGCGUAAAGGGAGCGUAGGCGGAGCCGUAAGUUAGAAGUUUAAUACCCGGGCUUAACCCGGGAUCUGCUUCUAAUACUGCGGCCCUUGAGUAUGGAAGAGGGAGAUGGAAUUCCAGGUGUAGCGGUGGAAUGCGUAGAUAUCUGGAAGAACACCAGCAGCGAAGGCGGUCUCCUGGUCCAAUACUGACGCUGAGGCUCGAAAGUUAGGGGAG